rnacentral:lncRNA from 1 species
ACAAAACAAGCCUGCCUUUGACACCUUUCUUCCCCCAAACCAGCUGGUAACACAACCCUCGGUGAAAAAGUAUUGCACUUUUUAAGGCAUGGUGGGGAGGGGAGGAUAGGAGAAUACCUACCUCAGAGAUGAGUCCAGAGGCGCCAUCUGGUUCUCUCCUGGAUGGCCUGGGGGUGUCAGAUGCCAGGAAAAGACAGAAGGGUCCUGAACUGCAGUGUCUCCUCAGGGGGCAGAAUCCACAAAAUCAUCAGCCUUUCACCACCUGGGUGAACAAUGCUGUAUGUUUUUCCCUUAGGUUACUGUGUCAAAACAACUGUUGUUUCUUUCAGCUGAGGAUAAAAUAACAUGUUGUGAAAUGUUUUGCAAAGUCUAAGAUGCCACAGAAAGGGAGAUCAAUAUAGGGGACACAAUUUUGGAAAGUGACAUAUGGGUGAAAGUGAAUCUGCACGAACAGAACCUGAUCAUGGUGGGACCUUUUACCUUGCCUUCCUUCCUUGGACAAUUUUGGUCUCAUUCUCAUUUACUUUCCUCAGAGAGACUGACACUGGCAAUUCUAUAGUGUUUGGUUCCAAUAAGACAAAAAUAAACACAA